UGCAAGAGAUGCUAGAUAGCAACCUUAUUCAUAUUACCAGAUAUAGGGAUGAAGAUGAUCAUGGUGUGAAUGUCAUAGUUCCCUAUUUUAAUAUCCCGGAACCAGUUGUGAUUGCUUACAAUAGUUAAAAGUAUGUCAUUUCUCCUUUGGUUAUUCGUCUGGAGGUUCCUACACCCUAUGAAUAUGACAAAGUUGUUCCUUACAAAUAUAAUGCUACAAUGUUGGAAGAUGGAGAGGAAGUUC
rnacentral:lncRNA from 1 species